rnacentral:misc_RNA from 1 species
CGCAUCUUGCACUCUUUGGUUAUUCCGAAGAGUAUGCUUGUUUGAGUGUCGCGAAAUUCUCAACCCCGCCUUGCGCAAGCUUGGUAGUCUGGGCUUGGAUCCUGGCUUACUGUCGUUCGAAAGCACGACUAGGCUGAAAUAUAACAAGCUGAAUCGAACCCUAGUGCGGCUUGACCUGAUGUUGUAACUACCUCAUCGGGGACGUACUAUUGUGUUGAACGAGCUUUCAAACCCCCUUAUCAUUUGUCCUCGGACAAUGCCUAAUGACCUCAAAUCAAGUAGGACUACCCGCUGAACUUAA